AACUUCUAGGAGCAAUGUUGAGCUUGGGCCUGAUGAGUGGCAGUGGGCUGGCUUGUUGCUGUGGGCU
rnacentral:pre_miRNA from 1 species